AUGGAGAAUCUGUAAAGCUCAGGAGGGAUAGCGCCAUGACCAAUGAUGAUGAUGGUUGAGAUCAUUUUUGCCUUUAGAGUUAUGCCUUUAAUCAUGUUUAGCGGCGCUAUCUAUCCUGAGCAUCACGGGUUCUUCUU
rnacentral:pre_miRNA from 1 species